GGCAGCCGGAGACCAAGGCCAAAGCUUCAGACCGUUCUCCAGAUAUGGAUAACUAUUCUGAAGAUGACGAUGAUAGUUACUCGUCAGAGCAGGAGGCGAGCGACGACGCUGUUCAAGGCCAGGACCUUUAUGAUGAGGAUGAUGAUGUUCAGCGGAAGCCCAAAAAAUCUCGAAGGAAAAUGAUUAGAACGACAUCUAUGACCCGGG